GACGAACGCUGGCGGCGUGCUUAACACAUGCAAGUCGAACGGAAAGGCCCUGCUUUUGUGGGGUGCUCGAGUGGCGAACGGGUGAGUAACACGUGAGUAACCUGCCCUUGACUUUGGGAUAACUUCAGGAAACUGGGGCUAAUACCGGAUAGGAGCUCCUGCUGCAUGGUGCGGGUUGGAAAGUUUCGGCGGUUGGGGAUGGACUCGCGGCUUAUGAGCUUGUUGGUGGGGUAGUGGCUUACCAAGGCUUUGACGGGUAGCCGGCCUGAGAGGGUGACCGGCCACAUGGGGCCUGAGAUACGGCCCAGAGUGCUACGGGAGGCAGCAGUGGGGAAUAUUGCACAAUGGUCGGAAGCCUGAUGCAGCAACGCCGCGUGCGUGAUGACGGCCUGCGGGUUGUAAAACGCUUUCGCCUGUGACGAAGCGUGAGUGACGGUAAUGGAUAAAGAAGCACCGGCUAACUACGUG
rnacentral:rRNA from 1 species